rnacentral:rRNA from 1 species
UACGAAGGGGGCUAGCGUUGCUCGGAAUUACUGGGCGUAAAGCGCACGUAGGCGGCUUCUUAAGUCGUUGGUGAAAUCCUGGAGCUCAACUCCAGAACUGCCUUCGAUACUGGGAAGCUCGAGUCCGGGAGAGGUGAGUGGAACUGCGAGUGUAGAGGUGAAAUUCGUAGAUAUUCGCAAGAACACCAGUGGCGAAGGCGGCUCACUGGCCCGGUACUGACGCUGAGGUGCGAAAGCGUGGGGAGCAAACAGG